rnacentral:pre_miRNA from 1 species
AGUGGGAUAGCUGGGUCAAAUGAUGGUUCGAUUCCCAGUUUUCUGAGGAAUCUCCAUACUGUUUUCCAUAGUGGUUGUACCAAUUUGCAGUCCCACCAGCAAU